CAUGCAAGUCGAGCGGUAACAGAAAGUAGCUUGCUACUUUGCUGACGAGCGGCGGACGGGUGAGUAAUGCUUGGGAACAUGCCUUGAGGUGGGGGACAACAGUUGGAACCGACUGCUAAUACCGCAUAAUGUCUACGGACCAAAGGGGGCUUCGGCUCUCGCCUUUAGAUUGGCCCAAGUGGGAUUAGCUAGUUGGUGAGGUAAUGGCUCACCAAGGCAACGAUCCCUAGCUGGUUUGAGAGGAUGAUCAGCCACACUGGAACUGAGACACGGUCCAGACUCCUACGGGAGGCAGCAGUGGGGAAUAUUGCACAAUGGGCGAAAGCCUGAUGCAGCCAUGCCGCGUGUGUGAAGAAGGCCUUCGGGUUGUAAAGCACUUUCAGUCAGGAGGAAAGGGUGUGAGUUAAUACCUCACAUCUGUGACGUUACUGACAGAAGAAGCACCGGCUAACUCCGUGCCAGCAGCCGCGGUAAUACGGAGGGUGCGAGCGUUAAUCGGAAUUACUGGGCGUAAAGCGUACGCAGGCGGUUUGUUAAGCGAGAUGUGAAAGCCCCGGGCUCAACCUGGGAACUGCAUUUCGAACUGGCAAACUAGAGUGUGAUAGAGGGUGGUAGAAUUUCAGGUGUAGCGGUGAAAUGCGUAGAGAUCU
rnacentral:rRNA from 1 species